rnacentral:rRNA from 1 species
UACAGAGGUCCCGAGCGUUGUUCGGAUUCACUGGGCGUAAAGGGUGCGUAGGUGGUUGUGCAAGUCUGAUGUGAAAACCCGGGGCUCAACCCCGGGCCUGCAUUCGAUACGGGCAGACUAGAGUUCGGUAGGGGAGUCUGGAAUUCCUGGUGUAGCGGUGAAAUGCGCAGAUAUCAGGAGGAACACCGGUGGCGAAGGCGGGACUCUGGGCCGAUACUGACGCUGAGGAGCGAAAGCGUGGGGAGCGAACAGG